AAUGAAAAAAACAAACAAACAAAAAAAAACCAAAUAAAUCAAUUUGCACAAUUAGGUGACGUAAGCAAAAAGCAACAAAAAUAGUGGUUUACAAAUUAAAACCGAUUUUUUAUACGAAUCUAAACAGUCUGUAGCUUAAUUCAAUAUGCCGCGCUUACCAAUCAGCAUUUGACAUCAAAGUACCGCGAGAGCGAAUCUUGCUUUAAGUGUAGAUCCGCUCUCGCGGUACUUUGAUGUCAUAAACCAGUCAAUUUGCGCAGCAACAGAUGAAGCCAAACACAACCAAUAUUAGAGUCGUUGUAAUGUGCCACCCGCACCACUAGAUGGAGUAUAGUAUUACCGUAAGGUUGACUUCUGCAUUCCCGCACUGUUUUCACUGUCCUGGCAACGAGACGCUGUAGACGACGUCAAAGACAAGUAUUAAAUCAUCUUUUUUAUUUUAUUUUUAAUCAGAGUAGAUACCAAAUCGAAGGCAAGCAUCUACAAAAAGACUUUAGCACGGAGCAAGUCAACGUUUGUUCCUUCAGUAUGCCAGAGAGCCUGGAAUCAGCCAUCACACCCUCUCUGAAUUUCUGUCACAAAAAUAAAGGAACUCGUUGGCCACAGGGUCGUCCCUCAGCAGCAAACCAUACAGUGCCACCCAAUGACACACCAGUUUAACAAUCUUCUGCUUGGUAUUGAGGGCAUAUGCUGCUUUCUCCAGAUCUGAGCCUUCAGACGGCUCUGCUUGCUGUCUGAUAAACCUUGAGGGGUUGAAGACCGGGGGUGUGUCUGUAACCCACCUUACUACUAAAGCAGGUGCCAAGGUUGGAAUGAAGGAGUAAACUAACCGGAAAUGUGCUGUUAACCUACAUAGAUGAUAAAGGAGGAACACUACUAUACCUCUUUAAGGCAUGAACCCCGCGAGGACUGGAUGAGUGUAUCUGCUGAACACAUGACCGCUGGAACCUCUGAGAAGACAAAAGUAUAGAAAAAGAGUUUUAUGUCUAGUCAAACUGCACUUCUGGUUUUGGUACAUCCUAUGUGGUCUCUUAUUCUGCUGUUUGUGCAAUAUCAUGACUCUAGUAAAACUCACUGGCUGCAUAUUGUCAACUCUUUAA